rnacentral:lncRNA from 10 species
AGAUUUGAGCCAUCAUGCUGGGCCUCCCGGGGCAGUUUUAGAGACAGGGCUUUGCCCUUUAUUGUUUGAGUAUAACUAAUGGCAGUAGGAUUUUCAGAAGCCACCUCUCUAGUAGUCCUCAUCAUGAUGUUUAAGUGUGUUUUAUUAGGCAACCUAUAUGUAGAUCAGGGUUUCUCAACCUUGGCAUUAUUGCCGUGUUAG